GAAUCUUUUAACCGUCUUUCCAAAAGUAUACUUUCAUCGACAUCAAAUCUCGCUCGUUUGGACGGAUUUCCAGCAGACGUGGAGGAGUAGGAAGGACCAGCCAUUGUUUUGUUUUCCCUAUUUACAACUGGUCUCCUUUGCUGUUUACAGGCUUUUAAGGUCAAUGAUUUGGCAUUGGUGUUGAUUGGACUUGUACACAAGGAAUACAGGAAAACCAAAGGAGAAACAGUAAACAGUAAACAAAUGUUAUGGAUUCAAGUGAAAACGAAGGUGAUGAUGACCUGAUUGCUGGAAUGAGAUAAACAACAUUUUGAAGGCAAAGAAAAAGAUGGAACAAGCAAAGCUUUUCUGGUGACAGAUAUUGAAGAGGAAAAUAAAGCGGAGGCAAAAAAGCAAUGGAUGACGAUGAUGAUCCCCUUGUACUUCCGGGAAGAGAGAAAGGUUGCUUCAGAGGGGAGACUCUUGUUUUCUCCUGUUUUUACCCACUUCGGCAGGAACCAAAUUAGGCCUUGUAGAGCGACACAACAAAAGUGUCAAUGGAAACUUAAUGAUUAAUGUUUAGUUGUGCAAUACAAAAUGAAUUUGUGGAUUAGUAGAGAGAAAAGACAGAGAAAAGACAGAAAGACUAACAAGAUGUGGAUCCCAUUUCAUCAUCCUUAUUAUUCUCAUCAUUUCCAUGUAUUUGCCUCUAUCAACAACAUCAUUAUCACAUUGUAUUUGGUUAGCUUUGUUUCAUUGUAUGAAACUUGUCUAAUGGUUUUUUCAUUGUGAACAAAAUCUCCCUGCUAUUGUAAAUCUAAACCUAAAACCUAAAACCUAAAACCUAAAACCUAAAACCUAAAACCCAAA